rnacentral:rRNA from 1 species
UACGUAGGGCGCAAGCGUUAUCCGGAAUUAUUGGGCGUAAAGAGCUCGUAGGCGGUUUGUCGCGUCUGCCGUGAAAGUCCGGGGCUCAACUCCGGAUCUGCGGUGGGUACGGGCAGACUAGAGUGAUGUAGGGGAGACUGGAAUUCCUGGUGUAGCGGUGAAAUGCGCAGAUAUCAGGAGGAACACCGGUGGCGAAGGCGGGCUCAUGGCCCGAUACUGACGCUGAGGUACGAAAGCGUGGGGAGCGAACAGG